GAGGAGCCCACGUCCGAUUAGCUAGUUGGCGGGGUAACGGCCCACCAAGGCGACGAUCGGUAGCCGGCCUAAAAAAACGGACAGCCACACUGGGACUGAGACACAACCCAGACUCCUACAAAAAACAGCAGUGGAGAAUUUUUCGCAAUGGGGGAAACCCUGACGAAGCAACGCCGCGUAGAGGAUGAAGGCCUUCGGGUCGUAAACUCCUGUCGACCAAGACGAAUGUGGUCUAGGCCAAUACCCCGGGCCAUCGACUGUACCGGUGGAGGAAGCCACGGCUAACUCUGUGCCAGCAGCCGCGGUAAUACAGAGGUGGCAAGCGUUGUUCGGAAUUACUGGGCGUAAAGGGCGCGUAGGCGGUCCCAUAAGUUCCGCGUGAAAUCCCCCGGCUCAACCAAGGAAUGGCAUGGAAAACUACAAAGCUUGAGUUCGGGAGAGGGAAGCGGAAUUCCAAAUGUAGCAGUGAAAUGCGUAGAUAUCCAAAAG
rnacentral:rRNA from 1 species